AUACUUACCUGGCAGGGAAAAUACCAUGAUCACUAAGGUGGUUUUUCCAGGACGAGGCUUAUUCAUUGCACUCCGGAUGUGCUGACCUCUGCGAUUUCCUUAAAUGUGGGAAACCCGACUGCAUAGUUUAUGGCAGUGGGGGACUGCGUUCGCGCUUUCCCCUG
rnacentral:snRNA from 2 species